rnacentral:lncRNA from 1 species
CCAGACCACUGGAAGACUCCCGCAGGAGUCUGGCACCCCGUGGGUGCUCACUGCACUCCCGGGGAGCCACUGUUUUGGUCAGGUCGGUUCUGGGAUUCUGCGUAGGGUGCAGGGUGGUCAUUGGAGAAAGGUCAGCCCUGCCUUCUGCUGCUGCAUCAGUCCAGUCCUCUGCCUCCCUUGGGGGGGCCAACAGGCCUUCUCACCCAUGCCCUGUCACCUGCUGGCCACAGCCUUCCCUUGGCAGCUCCUACCUACCGUCAGGUGGCAGAAAACCCCACAGAUUGAAGAAAGCUUCUCCACCUUUGGGAGCAACUCGACCCUGGAGUCCCAAGUCCCCAGUUUCCCUGAGAGACGGGACUGGGCUACCCCUCCUUGCAAGGCAGUGUGGUGUAGUAGAGGAGCCCACUAAGCUCCAGGGCCUGUGCUGGGUGCUAAUGUGGCAAGGAUGAGAGGAAGAAGACCUGGUCCCCGUGGUCCCCGCCCUCGCAGAGACAGGCGAGUGUGGCCUGUGCUGGAGAAGGAUGUGACCACGCCUGUGAUUGUGCAGUCUCCUCCUCAGAACUCUGGGAGUGUUUUUAAGGACCUUUUCUCACCUCAUUGCUCCAAGUGUGCAGCUUUUCCUGUGUGCCCCAGCGGGAGAGCAUGUGGCCUCCACCCGGACACCUGUAGUCUUUGUGUUUCUCUUCCACGGAGUAAGUGCGUAGUUGGUGACACCACGUGCUAAUGUCUCAUACUGCUGUGACGUGUACAUGUCAUAGCCGCGCCGCAAGCUCCUGGAUCAGGCCCAGCCGGCAUCCCUCAAGUGCCCAGCCUUGUACCUGGACCAGCAGGUAUCCAAAGAUGGAAUUAUAGUUGGUGUGUCUAAAUCUUGUCUUCUCUACUACACGGGUGAGCCGGCUGUCCCGCUGGGCCUCUUCGUGGUUUCUCUUCUCGGCACUCGGACUAAUGAGACUCCGCACAAGGUAUCUCCCAAGGGGAUUCAGAACAUGGAACAAACAUGGUCCUUGGC